rnacentral:lncRNA from 1 species
GUAAUACAGAGAAUUGUUUCGCAAAAAUCAAAUACAAUGUUACAUACACGAGCGAAUCGAACAAGUUAAACGAGUUUGAUGCGAGCUUUCUUCCUGUUUAUAUGCUUUAAAAUUUCCACUUUAUAUACAACAAAAUUAAGUUAGAUAGAAGUCUCAAAAAUACCAUUCGAAUUGAUGGUAUUCCAAAUGUCUUAAAAAUAAGAAAC